AGGUGUUGAGAGAGCAUUUUCCAUGCGUUUCUCCUGUUUCUGCACAUCUUGUGAGCAGACGCAUGACUGCCUUUCUUCUGCACUAUCUUUUCAAGGAUAUGUGGUGAACAGCUUUGGAAAACAGAGACAGAGUUCCUCCAGAGCAAAGGGCAGGUUUAUUUACUGUCCAGUACAAUAAAGAUAGCGCCAUCCUCCACAGCAAAAAUGAAGCAGACUUACUGUCCAUUAGAAAAGAUCUGGGCGCCCUAAGCUCAGGGCUCCUCUCCCAUAAUCCAUUGUGGACGCAGGUGUCACUUGGCCCGUUUCACACCACCCUUGGGGACUGGGACUCAGAAACUGGUAUAAAUGCUGAGAUUCUACUAUUGCUAUGAGUAACUAAGUCCUUCGUCUCUGACUCAGAAGGCUCCUAUCCUUUGCCAGCAGCCACCAAACUGAUUAUUUUGGAAGUAGGCUAAAUUUCAGACUCUUCACAAUUCUUGACAGGAAGUUUACCACCCCUGGCCGAGAAGCCACGAGGGCAAGUAUCAUCUUACAAAGCACCUGCUUCAGGUGAGACCUCCACGUCACCUUGGGGCAAGGGGAGGCUACGAAAGCACCGAGAGGGCCAGGGUUCAUUGUGGAAUAAUUAAAACACGCACAAAAGCAAAGAGAAAAAGGAAAAUCAACCCCUAUGAGCGCAUCACUCAGCUGCGGUCAUGAUUAACUCAACCACUCUCGUUUCGCCCACACACUCCCCGGAUCCCUGGAUUAGUUAGACCGUAUCACUGUGGUGCUCUUCUAAAAGUAUCGAUUCCUAAGCUACUCCCUCUGAAUUUUCUGAUUCAGUAAGUCAGGACUGGGGUCUGAGAAUCUGUAUGUUUUUAUCAGUUCCUCGGGUUUCGGAAGCUAUAGUAUAAACAAACGAACACGGGUUCUACAGCAGGCAGGUCCUAGUAUGAGUCCUGGCUUUGCCCAAGCUAUGCAACUCUGGGUGAAAAUUCACAGUUUUCAGACUUUUUGUCUCGAAGAACCACCACCUCUGUCAACCUGUGGUCUACUGAGACCGUCUGAUCCUUUUCACAUUAAAUAAAUGUGAUCAAACCUAGUA